rnacentral:rRNA from 1 species
CGGAAUUACUGGGCGUAAAGCGCACGCAGGCGGUCUGUCAAGUCGGAUGUGAAAUCCCCGGGCUCAACCUGGGAACUGCAUUCGAAACUGGCAGGCUUGAGUCUUGUAGAGGGGGGUAGAAUUCCAGGUGUAGCGGUGAAAUGCGUAGAGAUCUGGAGGAAUACCGGUGGCGAAGGCGGCCCCCUGGACAAAGACUGACGCUCAGGUGCGAAAGCGUGGGGAGCAAACAGGAUUAGAUACCCUGGUAGUCCACGCCGUAAACGAUGUCUACUUGGAGGUUGUGCCCUUGAGGCGUGGCUUCCGGAGCUAACGCGUUAAGUAGACCGCCUGGGGAGUACGGCCGCAAGGUUAAAACUCAAAUGAAUUGACGGGGGCCCGCACAAGCGGUGGAGCAUGUGGUUUAAUUCGAUGCAACGCGAAGAACCUUAC